UACGUAGGGGGCAAGCGUUAUCCGGAAUUAUUGGGCGUAAAGAGUGCGUAGGUGGUUUUGUAAGCGCGGGGUGAAAGGCAAUAGCUCAACUAUUGUAAGCCUUGCGAACUGCAAGACUUGAGUGCAGGAGAGGAAAGCGGAAUUCCUAGUGUAGCGGUGAAAUGCGUAGAUAUUAGGAGGAACACCAGUGGCGAAGGCGGCUUUCUGGACUGUAACUGACACUGAGGCAC
rnacentral:rRNA from 1 species